GUCCACACCGUAAACGUUGGCGCUAGGUGUGGGAACAUUCCACGUUCUCCGUGCCGCAGCUAACGCAUUAAGCGCCCCGCCUGGGGAGUACGGCCGCAAGGCUAAAACUCAAAGGAAUUGACGGGGGCCCGCACAAGCGGCGGAGCAUGUUGCUUAAUUCGAGGCAACGCGAAGAACCUUACCUGGGUUUGACAUGUAGAGAAAUCCCCAAGAGAUUGGGAGUCCGCAAAGGGUUCUACACAGGUGGUGCAUGGCUGUCGU
rnacentral:rRNA from 1 species